UACGUAGGGUGCGAGCGUUGUCCGGAAUUAUUGGGCGUAAAGGGCUCGUAGGCGGUUUGUCGCGUCGGGAGUGAAAUCCACUGGCUUAACUGGUGGCUUGCUUUCGAUACGGGCAGACUGGAGGUAUGCAGGGGAGAACGGAAUUCCUGGUGUAGCGGUGAAAUGCGCAGAUAUCAGGAGGAACACCGGUGGCGAAGGCGGUUCUCUGGGCAAUGUCCUGACGCUGAGGAGCGAAAGCAUGGGGAGCGAACAGG
rnacentral:rRNA from 1 species